GCACCAGUAGCUCAGUCAGUAGAGCCCUGUGUUUCUACGCAGGAGGUCGAGGGCUCGACCCCCUCCUGGUGCA
rnacentral:tRNA from 1 species